GCCAGUAUGGUGUAGCGGUUUGAGCGUUGGACUAUGACUCAGGAGAUCAGGGUUCAAAUCCUGACUUGGCU